UUUUCUUUAUUCUUUUCCUCUCUUUUCUUAUCCUCUGUUCAGUGCUCUUUUUUUUUUUUCCUUCUCUCUUCUCACCUGUUCUCUUUCCCUUUCCCCGGUGGAUCAUGGUGGUGGUGGAUCAUAGAUCACGGCUGAGAUUUGGUCCGGUUUUGGUUGAUUUGGUGGGUUCUGGGUUUUGAUUUCGGUUGAGGUUGUGGGUUGCAGCCGGAUCAUGGAUCGCGUCUGAGAUUGGGUUUUGAUUUGGAUUGAGGUUCUGGGUUGAGCUUCGAUGGCUUGAUUUCGGUGAGAGGUGAGUCACGGUGACUGUGCUGUGUUUGUGGUUGUGGUUGAGAGGUGGAAGAGGAAGGUUGGCGGUGGCUGGAUUGUGGGUUUUUUUUUUUUUUUUUUUUUUUUUUUGCUGUGGUUGGUGGUUGCCGGUUGAGAUGUGGUGGAAGAGGAAGGAUGUUGGGGCCUGGAUUGUUUUUUUUUUUUUCCUGCUGCCGUAGUUUGUGGUUGUGGAUGGUGGGGCACAACGGUGGAAGUGGCUGUUGCUGCUGUAUUGUGUGAUGGUUUGGUUCUUGUGGGUGAUGUUUAGCGUUAUUUUAAUGAGAUAUUUAUAUUAUUUUAAAUGGGUUGCUUGCUACAGGGUGUAUUUAAAAAAAAUGGGGGAUGAUAUGCAUAGGACAACAGCAUUUUCGCAAAGCCCUAGAGCUCCUACACAAUGUUUGCUUCUUCUUUUUUCCCUUUUACUGAUGGGGUUGAAGAGAAGGCUAUUAAAGAAAUAGAGGCAAAUAAUUUUCAGCUGGGGUACAAUUUUUGGGCAACUAAUUCCUGUCACUCUUUGAGACUAAUCAAAUUACUUCUUCUAUUUUUGGUGGCAGUUUUCUUCUAGUCUUCCUAAGUGCACUUCUUCAGCUGCUUGGAGAAAUCUAAAGAGCUUCUAUCAGGUUUUUUUUUCAAAUUAAUUUAGGCAGUUCUCUUAAUUCUGGGAGUCCUCAUGUUGAUAUUGUGUUUAGAUCUAUGUUAUUUGUUGGACAAAUGAUUUAUAAGCAUGCUACUAAGUUUUAAGUCAUGGUUAGUGAGCUGAGUCACUGUAUAAAUGUUAUGGAAAGACAAAUUUCUUAUACGCGUUGUUGCAUGCCCAAUGUAACAGUGUUUGCUUGUUAACUACCACUUUGAUAAUUUGUCUCAGUGAGAGCUUAGGAUUGAUUAAUAAAUUGAUUUUUCUUUCAAAUCUUGGAUUCAUUUUGUACGUUACCUUAUAUGAUGGGUAUGCUACAGUAUUUGCUUCCCAAUGCAUUCCUCUUCUUACCAAGCAGAGAUCAUGUACUAAAAUCUUUUGAUAUUUUGGGCUAAAUAGUUAUCUUGUUUGAAUAGGUGGCCAGCAUUAUGGCUAGAAUAUAAUGAUUGACUAAAACUCCAUAGUCAUCAUACUAGAAGCUAGAUGGCAAUCAU